rnacentral:misc_RNA from 1 species
GCACCUUGCCGUUGGUGUGGAGGCUUAACUGAAUCACCAAUCAGUCCUUCCCUGGCCUGGGGUAACGCAGCCGCUUUGCAGCCGCUUUUGCAGCUUCUGCGCUACCCCUUUUCCAGCUUAGGGCUGCUGGCGAACAGCGACCAAGGACUGCCAACCCCCUAAUCCAGGGUGUUACGCGUUACCGUGCCUAUUGGACGAUUUGCAGCCAGGGGGGUCUAAUUUCCGCUGUAUUAUAACGGAGCCUUCCUGAAACCGGGCCGCCUCAGGGAGUAACGGUGGCCUUACCGUGGCAAGGGGCGCUACUGCGGUGGACUAUAUAUUUCCCCACAUAAUUUUUUGACCACUGGGCCCGCCUCGUCGGGCAGGUGGUCGUACGAUCAAGAUGAAUACAAAUAAAAACAAAAACAUAAAUGACGAAAAUAAUGAAGAUGAAUGGAAGUUGCUCGUUAAAGCUCUUAGGAGAAGAGAGGGUUACGACUCCAACAGUGAUGAGAGCUCGGCAGGAGAGAGGGAGCUUUCAGCAAGCCCUAGCAAAGAAGCGGAGAGAGCAGAGGCCAAAAAGGCGCGGAAAAGAGAGCGGAAGAAAGCUCUAUCGCAAUAUAAAGCGGCACUGCGCAUAAUCCAGCGCUUUGGAGCCGUGGUUUACCCGACAAACCGUGAGAAGGAGCGCUUAGCGUGGGAAAGAGAGACGGUUAGGUCAGAACGUGCACAGUUCGAUAGAGAACAUUAUGCUACAGCAAAUCGGAGAUACCCUAACAGUAUAGAGGAGAAGCACGCUAAAAAUGAUAGGCCGGAUAUCAAGCGGCAGAAAAGAUUUACAUACGACGAUAAACCGCUUCACAAGGCAGUAAGGCGGGAGAGCCGCGACGACAAUGAUCCGUCGACUUCGAAGGCGGCUUUGUUAAAGAGCAGCGCGCAAGCUAAGAACGGCGAAGAUAUAGAUGGGAUCCCAGAUUAUGUAGGAUUAAGUGAGGUAGCCGAGCAGCACCUGACUGUCGCGCUGCUUGAUCAUAGUGAUCCCUAUGGCAAGAUGACCACUAAAAAGUGGAAUUCUGUAGAGGGUGAGCUAUUGAGUCUAAUGAUCAGGCAAAUGCAUGAAGAGCCGGACAAACCUAUGCCUACAUUUGACGGUGAAGGCUGGUUUUACGGGGUCAAGCUCCUUAAAUGCAAGGACAGCGCAGCACUGGAAUGGCUAAAGCAAGCAGUUCCAAACCUACAAAGGCAAGGGGACAAUGCACACUUAGAAGUGGUGGACAGAGUUCUGAUCCCCACAAUUCCGAAGGCGAAGGUAUGGAUCCCCUACGUGGUGAAGUCGGAUUACGCCCUGCGCUUGUUACAGGCACAAAAUCCGAAUAUACCAACACGGGAUUGGAAGGUACUUCACGUAUCUAAGACGACGGAUGAGGGCCAGAGCUACAUACUCCAAAUCAACAAAGAGGCUGAAGACUUGUUGUACCCAGAGUAUGGCAAAAUGUCGUGGGGUAUGGGAAGCGUAUAUUUGCGUCUGGAAAAGCGUAACCUAAAAGACGAUAACACAAAUACGCUAGAAGUAGGAGAAAUCGAGAAAGAUCUAGGUUUCGAUAACGUGACUGGCCUGAAAAUAGUGGACGAGGCAGCUAAGGAUGGUGAUGAGGUACUAGAAGUGCAGAAUGAGAUGAAGGACGAGCGACACGCUGAUGCUGUGGGUCCUUCAAGUAAAUCUUCAAUACAAUAAAUUGGCUUCGAACGAGCUCCUCAUAACGGUGGAUGAGGAGUUGUUCGACGUGGGCUUGGGCCAAGAGCUUCGACUUGCGGCUGGAGGGGGGAUAUCCGCACUUAAUUCAGCGAAGUUCUGCUCAUACUACAUGAAGUUAGAAGGCAGGCACAGAGGACUUGGUGGAAGUGGCUACCGAACGGGAGAAAUGGUUGAAGACUUUAAGCGCAGACGACAACAAAUAGUAGGGUGGACUAAAACGCCCAUCGUACCAUCUAGGGCUUUCGCGAAAUUAACGAAUGGGGUCUCUGCCUCACCAAUGACAUCGAUUGGCUGCUUUAUCACAUGAACAAUGCGCGUUACUUACGUGAGCUGGAUUUCGCGCGUGUUGACUUCUAUGAGCGCACAGAUUUGUAUCGCACCAUAAAAGCGAAAGGUGGUUCUGUCUUUCAGGGAGCAGCUACCAUACGUUAUCGGCGAUUUAUCAGACCUUAUCACCGCUUUCAAAUACAAUCGCGUAUCGUCUACUGGGACGAUCAAUCUGUCUAUAUGGAACAUCGUUUCGUACGUCUCUCCGAUCAAUUCGUUCACGCCAUUGCAAUUUGCCGGCAACGCAUACUCGAUUGCUCCACCGAGGAGGUGAUGAGCGACUUAUUGGCGCCUAAGGGUAUGCAGGCACAAGCAACUCACAAUAUUGUUAGCUCAACUUCUAGUCUGGACAAUAGUGCAGUGA